rnacentral:rRNA from 1 species
UGGUCAAGUAUAGAAGGGCUUAUGGUGGAUGCCUAGGCACCAGGAGGCGAAGAAGGGCGUAGGAGCCUGCGAUAAGCUUCGGGGAGCUGGCAAGCGAGCGAUGAUCCGGAGAUGCCCGAAUGGGGAAACCCGGCGCUGUUCAAACGGCGUCACCCGCUUUGUGCGGGAGCCAACGCAGGGAACUGAAACAUCUAAGUACCUGCAGGAAAGGAAAUCAAAAGAGACUCCCUGAGUAGCGGCGAGCGAACGGGGAAUAGCCCAAACCGGUCCAGAUUUCUGGAUCGGGGUUGUAGGACCGACACAACGGUACAUGGAAGGUUAGUGGAAGCGCUUGGGAAGGCGCGGCGUAGAGGGUGAUACCCCCGUACACGAAAACCGGAAGUGGCCAGUCGGAUUCCUGAGUACCCUGGGGCACGUGAAACCCCGGGGGAAUCUGGGAGGACCAUCUUCCAAGGCUAAGUACUCCCUGGUGACCGAUAGUGAACGAGUACCGUGAGGGAAAGGUGAAAAGAACCCCGAGAGGGGAGUGAAAAGACCCUGAAACCGUAAGCCUACAAACAGUGGGAGCCGCAAGGUGACCGCGUACCUUUUGCAUAAUGAGUCAGCGAGUUGUGCGUCGUAGCAAGGUUAAGCCGAGAGGUGUAGCCGUAGGGAAACCGAGUCUGAAGAGGGCGACUAGUUGCGGCGUGCAGACCCGAACCCAGGUGAGCUAUCCAUGGCCAGGGUGAAGCGUUGGUAAAACUUCGUGGAGGCCCGAACCCACCAGAGUUGAAAAUCUGGGGGAUGAGCUGUGGAUAGGAGUGAAAGGCUAAUCAAACCUGGAGAUAGCUGGUUCUCCCCGAAAGGCAUUUACGUGCCGCGUUGUACAGUACCGCCGGGGGUAGAGCACUGAAAGGGCUAGGGGCCCCCCAAGGUUACCAAACCCUAUCAAACUCCGAAUCCCGGUGAGUGACGUAUGGCAGUGAGACUGCGGGAGAUAAGUUUCGUAGUCGAGAGGGAAAGAGCCCAGACUGUCGGCUAAGGCCCCCAAAUCCGUGCUAAGUGGUCAAGGAUGUGGAGCAACACAGACAAUCAGGAGGUUGGCUUAGAAGCAGCCACCCUUUGAAGAAAGCGUAACAGCUCACUGAUCAAGUUGUUCUGCGCCGUAAAUAUAACGGGGCUAAGCACGGUGCCGAAGCUGCAGCAUCGCUUAGGCGAUGGGUAGGGGAGCGUUCCAACGUGGGUGAAGGCGUCUCGUGAGGGGCGUUGGACAUGUUGGAAGUGAGAAUGCUGACAUGAGUAGCGAUAAAGCGGGUGAAAAACCCGCUCGCCGGAAGCCCAAGGGUUCCUGUCCAAGGAUAAUCCGGGCAGGGUUAGUCGGCCCCUAAGGUGUAGCGGAAACGCGAAGCCGAUGGGAAACGGGUUAAUAUUCCCGUACCAGCAGUGUUGAGCGGAGCGGGGACGGAGAAGGCUAGGUCAGCCACGAGGUGGUAUCGUGGUUCAAGCCUGUAGGUGGAUUCGAUAGGAAUAAAACGUCGAAUCAACGCCGAGGGGUGAUGACGAAGUGACUUCGGUCAUGAAGUGAUUGAUGCCAUGCUUCCAAGAAAAGCCGCGGGCCGCGAAGAGAUGCUGUUGACCGUACCGCAAACCGACUCAGGUGGGCAGGUGGAGAACACCGAGGCGCUAGGGAGAACACUGGUUAAGGAACUAGGCAAAUUGAUACCGUAACUUCGGGAUAAGGUAUGCCAUCAUCAGGUGAAGGGCUUUGCGCCUGGAGCCGAAGGUGGUCACAGCAAAGCGGUGGUAGCGACUGUUUACCAAAAACACAGGUCUCUGCGAAGCCGUAAGGCGACGUAUAGGGACUGACGCCUGCCCGGUGCCGGAAGGUUAAGAGGAGUCGUUAGGGUAACCGAAGCGGUGAAUCGAAGCCCCGGUAAACGGCGGCCGUAACUAUAACGGUCCUAAGGUAGCGAAAUUCCUUGUCGGGUAAGUUCCGACCUGCACGAAAGGCGUAACGACUUCCACGCUGUCUCGACCAGUGACCCUGUGAAAUUGACGUUGGGGUGAAGAUGCCCUAUACCCGCGGAAAGACGGAAAGACCCUGUGAACCUUUACUCUAGCUUGGCAGUGGUAUCUGAUAUGGUUUGUGUAGGAUAGGUGGGAGGCGUUGAACUCGGGGCGCUAGCUUCGAGGGAGCCACCGUUGAAAUACCACCCUGAUCAUGUCGGCUACCUAACCUCGGAAGAGGGACACUGCCUGGUGGGGAGUUUGACUGGGGCGGUCGCCUCCUAAAAGGUAACGGAGGCGCGCGAAGGUUCCCUCAGCCUGAUUGGAAACCAGGCGCAGAGUGCAAAGGCAUAAGGGAGCUUGACUGCGAGACGGACACGUCGAGCAGGUGCGAAAGCAGGCCUUAGUGAUCCGGCGGUCCCGAAUGGAAGGGCCGUCGCUCAACGGAUAAAAGGUACUCCGGGGAUAACAGGCUUAUCACGCCCAAGAGUUCACAUCGACGGCGUGGUUUGGCACCUCGAUGUCGGCUCGUCGCAUCCUGGGGCUGGAGCAGGUCCCAAGGGUUUGGCUGUUCGCCAAUUAAAGCGGCACGCGAGCUGGGUUCAGAACGUCGUGAGACAGUUCGGUCCCUAUCUUCCGUGGGCGUUGGAGAGUUGAGAGGAGCUGUCCUUAGUACGAGAGGACCGGGAUGGACGCACCUCUGGUGUUCCGGUUGUCGCGCCAGCGGCAUUGCCGGGUAGCUACGUGCGGAAGGGAUAACCGCUGAAAGCAUCUAAGUGGGAAACCCCCCUCAAGAUGAACUCUCCCCAUGAGGACCCAGGUAGACGACCUGGUGGAUAGGCGGGAUGUGUAAGCACAGCAAUGUGUUCAGCUAACCCGUACUAAUUGUCCCAAUGGCUUGACCUCACACACACC